GAUGAACGCUGGCGGCGUGCCUAAUACAUGCAAGUCGAGCGAAUAGAUAAGGAGCUUGCUCCUUUGACGUUAGCGGCGGACGGGUGAGUAACACGUGGGUAACCUACCUAUAAGACUGGAAUAACUCCGGGAAACCGGGGCUAAUGCCGGAUAACAUUUAGAACCGCAUGGUUCUAAAGUGAAAGGUGGUUUUGCUAUCACUUAUAGAUGGACCCGCGCCGUAUUAGCUAGUUGGUAAGGUAACGGCUUACCAAGGCGACGAUACGUAGCCGACCUGAGAGGGUGAUCGGCCACACUGGAACUGAGACACGGUCCAGAUUCCUACGGGAGGCAGCAGUAGGGAAUCUUCCGCAAUGGGCGAAAGCCUGACGGAGCAACGCCGCGUGAGUGAUGAAGGCCUUCGGAUCGUAAAACUCUGUUGUUAGGGAAGAACAAAUUUGUUAGUAACUGAACAAGUCUUGACGGUACCUAACCAGAAAGCCACGGCUAACUACGUGCCAGCCGCCGCAGUAA
rnacentral:rRNA from 1 species